UAAUACGUAGGUGGCAAGCGUUGUUCGGAAUUACUGGGCGUAAAGGGCGCGUAGGCGGCCCGCUAAGUCGAACGUGAAAUCCCCGGGCUCAGCCCGGGAACUGCGUCCGAUACUGGCAGGCUUGAAUCCGGGAGAGGGAUGUGGAAUUCCAGGUGUAGCGGUGAAAUGCGUAGAUAUCUGGAGGAACACCGGUGGCGAAGGCGGCAUCCUGGACCGGUAUUGACGCUGAGGCGCGAAAGCCAGGGGAGCAAACGG
rnacentral:rRNA from 1 species